rnacentral:rRNA from 1 species
GACGAACGCUGGCGGCGUGCUUAACACAUGCAAGUCGAACGAUGAACUUGGAGCUUGCUCUGGGGGAUUAGUGGCGAACGGGUGAGUAACACGUGAGUAGCCUGCCCUGGACUCUGGGAUAACUUCGAGAAAUCGGAGCUAAUACCGGAUAGGACCUUGCACCGCAUGGUGUGGGGUGGAACGGUUUCCGGUUUGGGAUGGACUCGCGGCCUAUCAGCGUGUUGGUGAGGUAAUGGCUCACCAAGGCGUCGACGGGUAGCCGGCCUGAGAGGGUGACCGGCCACACUGGGACUGAGACACGGCCCAGACUCCUACGGGAGGCAGCAGUGGGGAAUAUUGCACAAUGGGCGCAAGCCUGAUGCAGCAACGCCGCGUGCGGGAUGACGGCCUUCGGGUUGUAAACCGCUUUUAGUAGGGAAGAAGCCUUCGGGUGACGGUACCUGCAGAAAAAGGACCGGCUAACUACGUGCCAGCCGCCGCGGUAAUAC